rnacentral:rRNA from 1 species
GGAGGGGGCUAGCGUUGUUCGGAUUUACUGGGCGUAAAGGGCGCGUAGGCGGUAUGCCAUGUCAGGGGUGAAAGGCCUGGGCUCAACCCAGGAACUGCCUUUGAAACUGGCAAACUAGAGUCCGAUAGAGGAUGGCGGAAUUCCCAGUGUAGAGGAGAAAUUCGUAGAUAUUGGGAAGAACACCAGUGGCGAAGGCGGCCAUCUGGAUCGGCACUGACGCUGAGGCGCGAAAGCGUGGGGAGCAAACAGGAUUAGAUACCCUGGUAGUCCACGCCGUAAACGAUGUGUGCUAGACGUUGGGGGGCCUUAGGCCCUGGGUGUCGCAGCUAACGCGUUAAGCACACCGCCUGGGGAGUACGGCCGCAAGGUUA